rnacentral:snRNA from 1 species
CUGCUUGCUUCAGCAGCACAUAUACUAAAAUUGGAAUGAUACAGACAAGAUUAGCAUGGCUCCUGCAUAAGGAUGACAUGCAAAUUCAUGAAGUGUUCUUUUUAUUU